GGGAAUGUAGCUCAGUGGUAGAGCACUUGCCUAGCAUGUGUGAGGCCCUGGUUUCCAUUCUCA
rnacentral:tRNA from 1 species